rnacentral:rRNA from 1 species
GAGUUUGAUCUUGGCUCAGAUUGAACGCUGGCGGCAUGCUUUACACAUGCAAGUCGAACGGGGUGAGGGGGCAACUCCUCAUUCAGUGGCGAACGGGUGAGUAAUGCAUCGGAACGUGUCCCGUAGUGGGGGAUAACGCCGCGAAAGCGGCGCUAAUACCGCGUACGCUCUACGGAGGAAAGUGGGGGACCCGCGAGGGCCUCAUGCUAGGGGGCGGCCGAUGUCCGAUUAGGUUGUUGGUGGGGUAAUGGCCUACCAAGCCGACGAUCGGUAGCUGGUCUGAGAGGAUGAUCAGCCACACUGGGACUGAGACACGGCCCAGACUCCUACGGGAGGCAGCAGUGGGGAAUUUUGGACAAUGGGGGCAACCCUGAUCCAGCCAUGCCGCGUGCGGGAAGAAGGCC